GUUAAAAUGAUUUUAUCAUGAAAUCAAUUCCAAACUCUAAAUGCUUAUGACCACACAAAAUUUGUCAUAUUUGUCUAUCCAAAAAAAUGAUGAAUGGUAUAAAAUCUGUUUACACAGUUUACAUGAAGAUACUGUAAGUGAUUGAAAAUUUAAAAAAAGAAAAUGUAUUCUAUUACAUUUGAAAUCAAGUACAUAGGUACAUCAAUGUCAUAAAUAUCAACUCAAACAACCAUGUAUUAUUAUAAAUACAUUUUAAAUAUAAAAAAAAUACUGCUAUAUAACACGCACACAUUCAUUCGACACACUCACCAACAUCAGAUCUUCA
rnacentral:misc_RNA from 1 species